rnacentral:lncRNA from 1 species
UUUUUCUAAUUUAGAUUAUUUAGUAUAGGGGAAACUUUAAAUACUCCCCUAUAAUUUCGCACUUUUUUAUUUUAGUAUCCUGUGGUUUAAAGUGUAUCAAGUUAGUACUCUGUGGUUUCGCACUCUCUGACUUUAGUACCAUGUAGUUUCAAGUGUAUCGAGUUAGUACCCUAUGGUUUUAUUUUUGUAUCACGUUAGUAUCAUGUGAUUUUAAUUUUUUUUUUUUAUUAUCCAUUUCAGAGUAUAUAAUUUUAAAAAUAUUAAACCACAGGUACUAAAGUGAGAAAGUGCGAAACCACAAGAUACCAACUUGAUACACUUGAAACUAUAUGGUAUUAAAGUGAGAAAAUGCGAAACCACAUGGUACUAACUUGAUACACUUGAAACCACAGGGUACUAAAGUGAGAACGUGCGAAACCACGGGGGGGCAUUUGAAGUUUCCCCUUCAUUAUAUUUAGAUUAUGAAAAUAUGCUAUAUUUUCUUUUGAGUUUGUCACUAGGUUUUAAUCUCCAGGCUCCCCUUAUAUUAUUUUUUUUAAAUCUGAAAAGCGAAAAAAAGUGCUUCACUUCGGCUUGUUUGUUUCGCUAAAAUUUUCGGAUGAACUAGAGUUUGGAUAAAAUUAAUUUUCUUUCAUUGUUUAUUAUAUAAUUGUAAAACCGACGUUUUUUUUUAAUUUUACUAUUUAUUUGCUAGAAAAUAAAUGAUGUACAAAUUAGAGGUGUGAGAAAUCAAUUAAUAUCUUAUUCCUUUUCUUUUACUUUUAUUUUUCUGCAAUUGAUUUUAUCUUAUAGAUUAGGUUGAAGUGAAUUAAGCUAUUGUGGAGAGUUUGAUUUUCGAUGGACGGUGAACCGAAAAACUAAAGUGAACAUUUAUUGCUGAAAAUUACUAAAUUUUUUUUUAUUUUUUGUAUAACAAAUAUAAUCAAUGACAAAUAUAAUCAGAAAUAAAAUUCUGACCUUAUGGAUAAUAAUCAGU